CCCAUGGGUACAUGAAGGACUCAAAGUGGAAAAGGAAACAGAAGUGCAAAGGCCAGGUUAGAGUACUGGGGUGGCGUGUCAGAGUAAAUAACAAGCGAUCGGCCAGUGAAAAUAGUUAGAGACACCUCUGAAAAAUAACAACUUAAUAUCUCGUUGUUACAAGAUUCAGGGGUGGUUAGGACGUAGAUUGAGGUGCCCAUGUAUGCCCAUCUUUCGGCAGGUAUCCUGGUAUUCAGUAGUCAUAUUCCCCAUCCAAAGUCACUCCGCUAACGGUCCAGGUCUUUGUGUAUGCUCAAUGUGAAUUGAUAAAAUACAUUGGAUAGACUAUCUAUGUAUAUUUCGAACUAUGAUGCCAAUGUGAACAUCCACUUGGGUUUUAUGAAUUGCAUUUGAAGAAAUUGACAUUUGAACACUAUUAAGAAUAGAUCUUAAAGAAAUAUGAUAGAUAGAUGGACUAAUAUACAAGUGCAUAUAGAGAGGCUUGCUUGGGCCUAGUGGGCUGUGCCUAUUGGGUCCUUGAGCAGGUCAUGGCCCGAAAAUUUGGCUGUGACAACCCUCCCCUGAACCUUAAAGUAAAAAUGACUCAAAACAAGGGACUGAAGUAGCUGGUGCAGAAAUUGAAAAACAUCAGGCUUCUUCUCCAAAUUCAGAGGAAGUUUCCAUUAUGGACAUUUUUCAUCAAAUGGUCAGAAAGGAACAUGUUGAAAAAGACACUAUCAAGACAACAACUCAGAAGGCUGGUGCAAAUGUAAGAAAAGGAAAGAAACUUGCUUCAAAUCCCAAACUAAAGGAAAAAACAGGGAAACUAGAAGCCACCACAGCACCACCAACUAAGGCAACACAACCAACCAAAUGAAGGAAGACUAUGGCAACCAAGACAACUUUUCUCAAAAGAAGAAAGUCUUCCAGAUUGGCAGAGAAGUCCAAACCAGUUUCAACCUCUUCUCCUCAUAGUCCAGUUCAUGUUUCAGAUAAAUCUUCUCCAGAAUCCUCUCCUAGAAAGUCAUCUCCUCUCCGAAAACCCUCUCCGUUUCCUCUUAACCCUUUUCUAUGGAACUGAAUCCUCACCCUUUGCUUCAUCCGAUGAAUAGAAUCCCCUUCCUUUGAUGUUGACAAAAAGGGGGAGUAAUAUGGUACUAGGGGAGUAGAAACCAGAGAAUAAUGUUUAAAAAAUAAAAAAAAG